rnacentral:rRNA from 1 species
UACGAAGGGGGCUAGCGUUGCUCGGAAUCACUGGGCGUAAAGCGCACGUAGGCGGGUCUUUAAGUCAGGGGUGAAAUCCCGGAGCUCAACUCCGGAACUGCCUUUGAUACUGGAGAUCUUGAGUCCGGGAGAGGUGAGUGGAACUCCUGGUGUAGCGGUGAAAUGCGCAGAUAUCAGGAGGAACACCAAUGGCGAAGGCAGCUCGCUGGGACGGUACUGACGCUGAGACGCGAAAGCGUGGGGAGCAAACAGG